rnacentral:rRNA from 1 species
UGCCAUAAGAUGAGCCCAAGUGGGAUUAGGUAGUUGGUGGGGUAAAGGCCUACCAAGCCGACGAUCUCUAGCUGGUCUGAGAGGAUGACCAGCCACACUGGAACUGAGACACGGUCCAGACUCCUACGGGAGGCAGCAGUGGGGAAUAUUGCACAAUGGGGGGAACCCUGAUGCAGCCAUGCCGCGUGAAUGAAGAAGGCCUUCGGGUUGUAAAGUUCUUUCGGUGAUGAGGAAGGGUGAUGUUUUAAUAGAGCAUUACAUUGACGUUAGUCACAGAAGAAGCACCGGCUAACUCCGUGCCAGCAGCCGCGGUAAUACGGAGGGUGCGAGCGUUAAUCGGAAUGACUGGGCGUAAAGGGCACGCAGGCGGUGACUUAAGUGAGAUGUGAAAGCCCCGAGCUUAACUUGGGAAUUGCAUUUCAUACUGGGUGGCUAGAGUAUUUUAGGGAGGGGUAGAAUUCCACGUGUAGCGGUGAAAUGCGUAGAGAUGUGGAGGAAUACCGAAGGCGAAGGCAGCCCCUUGGGAAAAUACUGACGCUC